AGUCGAGCGAACAGACGAGGAGCUUGCUCCUCUGACGUUAGCGGCGGACGGGUGAGUAACACGUGGAUAACCUACCUAUAAGACUGGGAUAACUUCGGGAAACCGGAGCUAAUACCGGAUAAUAUAUUGAACCGCAUGGUUCAAUAGUGAAAGACGGUUUUGCUGUCACUUAUAGAUGGAUCCGCGCCGCAUUAGCUAGUUGGUAAGGUAACGGCUUACCAAGGCGACGAUGCGUAGCCGACCUGAGAGGGUGAUCGGCCACACUGGAACUGAGACACGGUCCAGACUCCUACGGGAGGCAGCAGUAGGGAAUCUUCCGCAAUGGGCGAAAGCCUGACGGAGCAACGCCGCGUGAGUGAUGAAGGUCUUCGGAUCGUAAAACUCUGUUAUUAGGGAAGAACAAAUGUGUAAGUAACUAUGCACGUCUUGACGGUACCUAAUCAGAAAGCCACGGCUAACUACGUGCCAGCAGCCGCGGUAAUACGUAGGUGGCAAGCGUUAUCCGGAAUUAUUGGGCGUAAAGCGCGCGUAGGCGGUUUUUUAAGUCUGAUGUGAAAGCCCACGGCUCAACCGUGGAGGGUCAUUGGAAACUGGAAAACUUGAGUGCAGAAGAGGAAAGUGGAAUUCCAUGUGUAGCGGUGAAAUGCGCAGAGAUAUGGAGGAACACCAGUGGCGAAGGCGACUUUCUGGUCUGUAACUGACGCUGAUGUGCGAAAGCGUGGGGAUCAAACAGGAUUA
rnacentral:rRNA from 1 species